rnacentral:rRNA from 1 species
UGAACGCUGGCGGCGUGCCUAAUACAUGCAAGUCGAGCGAACGGACGAGAAGCUUGCUUCUCUGCUGUUAGCGGCGGACGGGUGAGUAACACGUGGAUAACCUACCUAUAAGACUGGGAUAACUUCGGGAAACCGGAGCUAAUACCGGAUAAUAUUUUGAACCGCAUGGUUCAAAAGUGAAAGACGGUCUUGCUGUCACUUAUAGAUGGAUCCGCGCUGCAUUAGCUAGUUGGUAAGGUAACGGCUUACCAAGGCAACGAUGCAUAGCCGACCUGAGAGGGUGAUCGGCCACACUGGAACUGAGACACGGUCCAGACUCCUACGGGAGGCAGCAGUAGGGAAUCUUCCGCAAUGGGCGAAAGCCUGACGGAGCAACGCCGCGUGAGUGAUGAAGGUCUUCGGAUCGUAAAACUCUGUUAUUAGGGAAGAACAUAUGUGUAAGUAACUGUGCACAUCUUGACGGUACCUAAUCAGAAAGCCACGGCUAACUACGUG